CCCAAGUGUGGAAAAUAGCGAGCAGAAAUGUACAAAGAAAGCGGGACGUUAUAGAACUCUCAGGUCUAAAGGCAUGGCAAGUCGUUCUAAGGACAAGACAAGACAAUUUUUUUCUUCAAUCACGAACGCUACUGGCGAGCUUUGCCGCUUGUAGAGAGGAGGAGCUUCACGUCCGUGUUUACAUUGCAGUUGAGUGCAUUAAAAACAUAAAAGCUGGGUCUGCCAGCACCUCCGCUGGCAGCGCACCGAGACACGCCCCUGCUCGCACUGGCCGCUCGCACUGCCCGCAUCAGCAAUCAACACACCUGGGACUGAUGAGGGAGAGCUGUAUUUAAACCAGUGGACCCAAGGAUCUUCGCCGGAACUUAGUCUUCUGUACUCAAUCUACCUUCGUCCCCGCGUGAUCGAGCUGUGCGCCUCGACUUCCCUUUUGGACUUUGGACUGCCACCCUUGAUCCUCGACCCCUCGCAUGGACACGGACUCUGACGCCUCUCUCUCGCCCUGGAUCAUCUGCCUGCCCCACAGA